AUACGUAGGGUGCAAGCGUUAAUCGGAAUUACUGGGCGUAAAGCGUGCGCAGGCGGUUUUGUAAGACAGUGGUGAAAUCCCCGGGCUCAACCUGGGAACUGCCAUUGUGACUGCAAGGCUGGAGUGCGGCAGAGGGGGAUGGAAUUCAGCGUGUAGCAGUGAAAUGCGUAGAUAUGCGGAGGAACACGGAUGGCGAAGGCUACCCCCUGGGCCCGCACUCGCGCUCAUACACGAAAGCGUGGGGAGCAAACAGGAUUAGAUCCCCUAGUAGGCCACGCCCUAAACGAUGUCAACUGGUUGUUGGGGAAUUAAUUUCCCCCUAACGAAGCUAACCCGUGAAGUUCACCACCUGGGGAAUACGGCCGCAAGGUUAAAACUCAAAGGAAUUGACGGGG
rnacentral:rRNA from 1 species